rnacentral:rRNA from 1 species
GAUUAACGCUGGCGGCGUGCAUAACACAUGCAAGUCGAACGAUGAAACUUAGUCGACUUCUUCGGAAAGACACUAAGCGGAUUAGUGGCGAACGGGUGAGUAACGCGUGAGUAACCUGCCUUACACAAGGGGAUAGCCUUUGGAAACGAAGAAUAAUACCCUAUAAAACCAUAAAAGCACAUGCUAGAAUGGUCAAAGUGAUAGCGGUGUAAGAUGGACUUGCGUCUGAUUAGCUAGUUGGUGAGAUAAAAGCUCACCAAGGCAACGAUCAGUAGCCGGCUUGAGAGAGUGUACGGCCACAUUGGGACUGAGACACGGCCCAGACUCCUACGGGAGGCAGCAGUGGGGAAUUUUGCACAAUGGGGGAAACCCUGAUGCAGCGACGCCGAGUGAUUUAGAAGGCCUUCGGGUUGUAAAAAUCUUUUGUAUAGGAAGAAAAUGACAGUACUAUACGAAUAAGGUCCGGCUAAUUACGUG